rnacentral:rRNA from 1 species
CCCUUAGAUGUUCUGGGCCGCACGCGCGCUACACUGAUGCAUUCAACGAGCCUAUCCUUGACCGACAGGUCCGGGUAAUCUUUGAAUCUGCAUCGUGACGGGGAUAGAUUAUUGCAAUUAUUAAUCUUCAACGAGGAAUGCCUAAUAGGCGCAAGUCAUCAGCUUGCGUCGAUUACGUCCCUGCCCUUUGUACACACCGCCCGUCGCUCCUACCGAUUGGGUGUGCUGGUGAAAUGUUCGGAUCGGCCGUUUGUCGCGGUUUCCGCGUCAUGUGGCUGAGAAGUUCAUUAAACCCUCCCACCUAGAGGAAGGAGAAGUCGUAACA